rnacentral:rRNA from 1 species
ACCUGCCCUAUGAAUUAAAAAUUUAAAUGGCUGCGGUAGCCUGACCGUGCAAAGGUAGCAUAAUAAUUAGUUUCUUAAUUGGGAACUGGUAUGAAUGGUUUAACGAGAAAAAGACUGUCUCAAUUUAAUUUAAAUUAGAAUUUUAUUUUUAAGUUAAAAAGCUUAAAUAAUUUUAAAAGACGAGAAGACCCUAUAGAGUUUUAUAUAAAUAUAAUUAUUUAUAAGUUAAAGUAUUUUAGAUUUAGAAAAUUAUAUUUAUAUUUGAUUGGGGCGAUUAAAAAAUUAAAUAAACUUUUUUUAAAUAUUUACAUUGAUUUAUGAGUAAGUGAUCCAUUAAUAAUGAUUAUAAGAUU